GUAAGCCGUGUGCGGGAGAACCGCAUGCACGGUUUGACGGGCGGGGGCUGGAAACGGAGUGUCGACCAUGGU
rnacentral:ncRNA from 1 species